AACGAACGCUGGCGGCGUGUUUAAGACAUGCAAGUCGAACGGGGUGAAGUUGUAGCAAUACCGCUUCAUCCAGUGGCGCACGGGUGCGUAACACGUGAGUUACAUGCCCUGCAGUGGGGAAUAGCCCGCCGAAAGGCGGAUUAAUACCCCAUGGUUCCCGCGAGGGUAAAGGUGGCCGCAAGGCUGCCGCUGCAGGAUUGGCUCGCGGCCUAUCAGCUUGUUGGCGGGGUAACGGCCCACCAAGGCGACGACGGGUACCUGGUCUGAGAGGAUGAUCAGGCACACUGGAACUGAGACACGGUACAGACACCUACGGGUGGCAGCAGUCGAGAAUAAUUCACAAUGGGCGAAAGCCUGAUGGUGCAACGCCGCGUGGAGGAUGAAGGUCUUCGGAUUGUAAACUCCUGUCAUCGGGGAGUAAGACCUGGGCGUGAAUAGCGCACAGGGUUGAUAGUACCCGAAGAGGAAGGGACGGCUAACUUCGUGCCAGCAGCCGCCGCGGUAA
rnacentral:rRNA from 1 species